rnacentral:lncRNA from 1 species
GAAAAGCGCAGUAUUCGGGUGGGAGCGAGCCGAUUUUCCAGGUGCCGUCCGUCACCCCUUUCUUUGACUAGGAAAGGGAACUCCCUGACCCCUUGCGCUUCCGGAGUGAGGCAAUGCCUCGCCCUGCUUCGGCUCGCGCACGGUGCACGCACCCACUGACCUGCGCCCACUGUGUGGCACUCCCUAGUGAGAUGAACCCGGUACCUCAGAUGGAAAUGCAGAAAUCACCCGUCUUCUGCGUGGCUCACGCUGGGAGCUGUAGACCGGAGCUGUUCCUAUUCGGCCAUCUUGGCUCCUGGAUCUCUGUGUCAACCUUCUUUUAUUUUUAAAAGAUAUUCACUGUCUCUUACUAAAGCUUCCUGUUCAAAGUCUGGCUGAGAAUUUUUGCUGCUUCUUUCCCUACCUCCUCAUUUCCGAAGGAGGUACCUUUCUGGCUUCUCUGUUGAACAUUUCCUAAAUAAAGUGUGGAUGAAAAGCAAUAGAGGAAGGAAAUGCAGAAAAUUAUAAGGCUGAAAUAGAAACUGGCCACAGCAGAGAUUAAAGAAAUUCUGAACCAGGUGAGAGAAGAGGAGGUAGUAGGGCAGAAGAAAGAGAACAAAUAGCAUGACAGAAAUGCACAGAAGUUAUGGGACAUUGUUCUGGGGAGAUUUUCACAGAGAGAAAAAGACUUUCUUUUAAAUAUUCUUUCCAAAUAAUCACAGUUAGUAAUAAAGAAACCAUAACUAACCAUGGCUAAAAUAUUGAGAGUAAGAAAACUUUUACCAAGUGAUGAAAUACAGCUUAUGUAUCGUAUUAGUCAGAACCAAUAAGACAUAUAUGGAUAUAUAGGAAGAGAUUUACUAUGAGGGACCGGCUCACACAAUUAUGGAGGCUAAGUCUACAAUCUGUUGUCUGGAAGCUGGAGAACCAGAAAACUGGUGGUGUCAUUGUAACUCCAGCGCAAAGGCCUAAGAACCAGAAGAAUCAAUGGUGUAAGUCUCAGUCUGCAUCUGAAGGCCUGAGAACCAGGAGCGCCAAUGUCUGAGGGCAGGAGAAGGUGGGUGUCCCAGCUCAAGAAGAGAGAGCAAAUUCAGUCUUCCUCUGCCUUUUUGUUCUGUUCAG